rnacentral:rRNA from 1 species
GACAGAGGGUGCAAACGUUGUUCGGAAUUACUGGGCGUAAAGGGCGCGUAGGCGGCCUGGCAAGUGGAAGGUGAAAUCCCUCGGCUUAACCGAGGAACUGCCUCCCAAACUGCUUGGCUUGAGACCGGGAGAGGUGAGUGGAAUUCCCAGUGUAGCGGUGAAAUGCGUAGAUAUUGGGAGGAACACCAGUGGCGAAGGCGGCUCACUGGCCCGGUACUGACGCUGAUGCGCGAAAGCCAGGGGAGCAAACGGG